rnacentral:rRNA from 1 species
UACGAAGGGUGCAAGCGUUACUCGGAAUUACUGGGCGUAAAGCGUGCGUAGGUGGUUUGUUAGGUCUGCUGUGAAAGCCCCGGGCUCAACCUGGGAACUGCAUCGGAAACUAGCGGGCUGGAGUGUGGCAGAGGGGGGUGGAAUUCCACGUGUAGCAGUGAAAUGCGUAGAGAUGUGGAGGAACACCGAUGGCGAAGGCAGCCAUCUGGACCGACACUGACGCUGAGGCGCGAAAGCGUGGGGAGCAAACAGG